GCUUAACACAUGCAAGUCGAGCGAGAAAGCGACUUCGGUCGUGAGUACAGCGGCGAACGGGUGAGUAACACGUGGAUAACCUACCCUCAAGUGGGGGAUAACUCGAGGAAACUUGGGCUAAUACCGCAUAAGCUCCGAGGAUUGCGAUCCGAGGAGGAAAGCUGGCCACUACAUGUAAGCUGGCGCUUUUGGAUGGGUCCGCGUCUGAUUAGCUUGUUGGUGAGGUAACGGCUCACCAAGGCGACGAUCAGUAGCCGGCCUGAGAGGGUGAACGGCCACACUGGAACUGAGACACGGUCCAGACUCCUACGGGAGGCAGCAGUGGGGAAUAUUGGACAAUGGGCGCAAGCCUGAUCCAGCAACGCCGCGUGGAGGACGAAGGCUUUCGGGUCGUAAACUCCUGUCAGGUGGGAAGAA
rnacentral:rRNA from 1 species